rnacentral:rRNA from 1 species
UUAAGACCUUCAAUCAGGUGGGAUUACCCGCUGAACUUAAGCUAUCAUAAGCGGAGGAAAGAAACUAACCAGGAUUCCCCUAGUAACGGCGAGUGAAGAGGGAAAAGCCCAAAUUUGUAAUCUGGCUCUUUUAGAGUCCGAGUUGUAAUUUUGAGAACUGUUUUCCGUGCUGGACCAUGUACAAGUCUGUUGGAAAACAGCAUCAUUGAGGGUGAAAAUCCYGUUCAUGAUAUGGACUACCAGUGCAAUGUGAUACAGUCUCUAAGAGUCGAGUUGUUUGGGAAUGCAGCUCAAAGUGGGUGGUAAAUUCCAUCUAAGGCUAAAUAUUGGUGAGAGACCGAUAGCAAACAAGUACCGUGAGGGAAAGAUGAAAAGAACUUUGGAAAGAGAGUUAACAGUACGUGAAAUUGUUAAAAGGGAAACAUUUGAAGUUAGACUUGUUAUUGUUGGUUCAGCCUUUUAUAGGGUGUAUUCCAAUGGUUAACAGACCAGCAUCAAUUUUUGGGUGAUGGAUAAGGGUCUUGGAAAUGUAGCAACCUCGGUUGUGUUAUAGUCCUUGACUUUGAUACAUUGCUUAGGAUUGAGGAACGCAGUAAGCUGAAUUAAUUUUUAGUGAAUCUCUUGAGAUUUUCUUACUACGGAUGUUGGUGUAA